rnacentral:lncRNA from 1 species
AAGGGAGAGAAGAGGAACUUGGUUCCUAAACGGGUGAUUUGAAGAGUGAAAAUUGGUGGGAGGAGAUAUUUGAGAGAAAUCUUUGGUUUGAGGGAGAAGAGAUGGAGAGCUUUUGGUUCGGUGGGAGGAAGAAGACGAAGGGCUGAGUCAGCUCAAGAAAAAAUUCUCAAUAAGAAGAGAGCGCCCGAAGGGUUUUGACAAAAUUGCAAGAUUACCCUAGGGUCG